rnacentral:rRNA from 1 species
GUCUACCAUGCAGUCGAGCGCGUCCCUUCGGGGGCGAGCGGCGCACGGGUGAGUAACGCGUGGGAACAUAGACGGGGUAGGGGAUAACCGCUGGAAACGGCGGCUAAUACCCUAUACGUCCUGAGGGAGAAAGAUUUAUCGCCCUGGGAUGGGCCCGCGUCGGAUUAGCUAGUUGGUGGGGUAACGGCUCACCAAGGCGACGAUCCGUAGCUGGUCUGAGAGGAUGAUCAGCCACACUGGGACUGAGACACGGCCCAGACUCCUACGGGAGGCAGCAGUGGGGAAUAUUGGACAAUGGGCGCAAGCCUGAUCCAGCCAUGCCGCGUGAGUGAAGAAGGCCCUAGGGUUGUAAAGCUCUUUCACCCGCGAAGAUGAUGACGGUAGCGGGAGAAGAAGCCCCGGCUAACUCCGUGCCAGCACC